ACGGGGUUACCCACAAAAUUCACUCUUCAUUUUCUAUUUUACUCCCAUCACUUCAUUAAAACACACACGGAUUUUACAUUUCAAUUCUCUGAAACUUCAAAACUCUCUUUUUCAUUUUACAAUGGUUUUGCACUAGAGUUUCAUUGGUCUUGGGUCUAUUGCUAGAUUUUUCGGUUGAAGAAUUGAAACUAAUGUGGGCUAUUUUCUACUGCUAUUUGUUGUUACUAUGAAGCUGAAUUCUCUUCUCUGACUUUCUGAUCUUUAUUUGGUCAUUUAUCUGUUGUUUCUGCUUUCUAGGUAUGUAAAUAUCCAUACAUUCAUCUUUUUUUUUUGAGUUAAUGAAUAAAUGUUGUUUGGUGUUGUAUUUGUUCAUGACUUUGUGGACUUAGUUUAUUUUUAGCCACUAAAUAGUCUAAAGAGCUAUCUUUGUUGAUUUACAUCUAUAUUAUUUGUUCAGCUACUGUUCAAGAUACACUUAUGCUUGAUUUUGAGUUGCUGAAGUUGCUCAAUGAUGUUUUAUCUGUCAAUACAUGGUGUUAGUUAACUGAUUCUGAGCAUGUUAGUUAGUGUCAUUUUGUUUGGUAUAGAUAGUUGAUGAUUAGUAGCUGAGAAUGUAACUUCACAUUUGAGGCAGUAUAGAAGCAAAGCAAGUUGUAAGUCUGACCAACAGUUGGUCAGAUAUGCAUCCGAGCAGGCCAAGAAAAAUCAGCUCAAAAUUAUGAAGUAUGGUGACAUUAUGCAUGUUGUCCCAAAUCAAAAGAAAAGCCAUGGAUAACACAAUUUGGAGUUUUACAAAUUACAUGCAAAUUAGUUAUUUAGAUUUCGGAGCAAGA
rnacentral:lncRNA from 1 species